AUAGCCUACUAUUUAACUUAGGUACAACCCUGCCCUCUGACUUUUAACAGCCGCGGUAUCCUAACCGUGCUAAGGUAGCAUAAUCACUUGCCUAUUAAUUAUAGGCUAGAAUGAACGGGAUCACUCACUUAAACUUAUUUUUAUUUAAAUUUAAAUUAAACUUUAAGUCAAAAUACUAAAUUUAAAAGAAAGACAAAAAGACCCUGAAAACUAUUAGAAAUAAUUAGUUGGGGCAACUAUAGACCACUCUAGCGUCUAUUUUUUUUUAAACUCUUAAAAUCUAAAGUAUCCAGUUACUUCAGGGAUAACAGACUAAUUUUAUUAUUUAGACCCAAUAAAUAAUAAAGAUUGGCACCUCGAUGUUGGCUUAUAUUUCCUUCAUAUAGCAACAUAUAUAGAAGGCAGCUUGUUCAUCUGUUAAAUAUUUACAUGAGCUGAGUUCA
rnacentral:rRNA from 1 species